rnacentral:rRNA from 1 species
UACGGGGGGAGCAAGUGUUGUUCGGAUUUGCUGGGCGUAAAGGGCGCGUAGGCGGUCAGCACAAGUCAGUUGUGAAAUCUCCGGGCUUAACUCGGAAAGGUCAACUGAUACUGUGCGACUAGAGUGCAGAAGGGACAACUGGAAUUCUCGGUGUAGCGGUGAAAUGCGUAGAUAUCGAGAGGAACACCUGCGGCGAAGGCGGCACUCUGGGCCGGAACUGACGCUGAGGAGCGAAAGCGUGGGGAGCGAACAGG